rnacentral:rRNA from 1 species
UACGUAGGGUACGAGCGUUGUCCGGAAUUAUUGGGCGUAAAGGGCUCGUAGGCGGUUUGUCGCGUCGGGAGUGAAAUCCACUGGCUUAACUGGUGGCUUGCUUUCGAUACGGGCAGACUGGAGGUAUGCAGGGGAGAACGGAAUUCCUGGUGUAGCGGUGAAAUGCGCAGAUAUCAGGAGGAACACCGGUGGCGAAGGCGGUUCUCUGGGCAUGUCCUGACGCUGAGGAGCGAAAGUGUGGGGAGCGAACAGG